UACAAAUUUAGGAAGCAAGCCUCAGCGCCCUCGGUGUCGAGCUGACCAAGUAAUGAAAAACGCGCACUUUGAAAACGUUCAAAUCAUCCAGUGAGAGUGCGAUGCCGUUAGCUGGCAUCAGCUGAUUUUGUGGCGUGCAUACGUGCGAUUAAAAAAAGCCGCUGCUAUGAAAGUGUAAAAUCGUGCAGCGAAAAAAGCCGGACUGAGGCAUUUCUUACAUCUCUCGAACAUGGAGAAACCACGCCGUAUUGCAUAUCGAUGUAAAUAUCCAAACUGCGGAAAUGUGUUCUACAAGGGUGGUGGUAAUGACAUUAGAUUUUACCAUUUUCCAAGAAAUGUGGAAAUGCAGGAACUUUGGAGACAAAUUUGUAAAAUUGAUAUUUUCAUGAUCCAUUAAAUCGAAACAGACUGUUGCCUAAUGUGGUCCCAAAGGAAUAUGUCUCCAAAGAGUCCAUGAGCAGUCAAGUGGUUGCAGCGGAAAUUUACACUCAGUUGCUGUGGUAUCCGUAGCUAGUUGCUCAUUUUCUGCUGACACAGACUUUUCUA